GAAGGCAUAGUUCAGUGGUAGACUGCAUGCUUAGCAUGUACAAAGUUCUGGGUUCAAUCCCCAGUACCUCUG
rnacentral:tRNA from 1 species